UGGGGAAUUUUGGACAAUGGGCGAAAGCCUGAUCCAGCAAUGCCGCGUGUGUGAAGAAGGCCUUCGGGUUGUAAAGCACUUUUGUCCGGAAAGAAAUCCUUGGCUCUAAUACAGUCGGGGGAUGACGGUACCGGAAGAAUAAGCACCGGCUAACUACGUGCCAGCAGCCGCGGUAAUACGUAGGGUGCAAGCGUUAAUCGGAAUUACUGGGCGUAAAGCGUGCGCAGGCGGUUUGCUAAGACCGAUGUGAAAUCCCCGGGCUCAACCUGGGAACUGCAUUGGUGACUGGCAGGCUAGAGUAUGGCAGAGGGGGGUAGAAUUCCACGUGUAGCAGUGAAAUGCGUAGAGAUGUGGAGGAAUACCGAUGGCGAAGGCAGCCCCCUGGGCCAAUACUGACGCUCAUGCACGAAAGCGUGGGGAGCAAACAGGAUUAGAUACCCUGGUAGUCCACGCCCUAAACGAUGUCAACUAGUUGUUGGGGAUUCAUUUCCUUAGUAACGUAGCUAACGCGUGAAGUUGACCGCCUGGGGAGUACGGUCGCAAGAUUAAAACUCAAAUGAAUUGACGGGGUCAUAGCUGUUUUCU
rnacentral:rRNA from 1 species